UGUGUGUGUGUGUGUGUGUGUGUGUGUGUGUGUGUGUGUGUGUGCGCUCGCGCGCGCGCACAUACACAUGCACGUGCACACACUCAUG
rnacentral:miRNA from 1 species